GGAUGAAGAACGCAGCGAAAUGCGAUAAGUAAUGUGAAUUGCAGAAUUCCGUGAAUCAUCGAAUCUUUGAACGCACAUUGCGCCCGUCAGUAUUCUGGCGGGCAUGCCUGUUCGAGCGUCAUUACGCCCCUCAAGUCCCCUGUGGACUUGGUGUUGGGGAUCGGCGAGGCUGGUUUUCCAGCACAGCCGUCCCUUAAAUUAAUUGGCGGUCUCGCCGUGGCCCUCCUCUGCGCAGUAGUAAAACACUCGCAACAGGAGCCCGGCGCGGUCCACUGCCGUAAAACCCCCCAACUUUUUAUAGUUGACCUCGAAUCAGGUAGGACUACCCGCUGAACUUAAGCAUAUCAAUAAGCGGAGGA
rnacentral:misc_RNA from 1 species